rnacentral:lncRNA from 10 species
UGUGUGCAUGCCUGUGUGCAGACAGCUGUAGUACGGAGCCUUUGGGUCAGAGCUCUGACUCCCCACCUGGUCUGGAGGCAGCCCUGGUCAGCCCCAAGAUUCCCGAGAGGAUGGGCCUGCUUCUUUUUCUCUAAGAUGAGGACAAGGAGCUGGAAGCAGGCUGCGGACCAUCAGGAUCUGUCAGCAGCCCCUAUCUUGGUGAGACAACCUGGGCCCUAGAAUCCACCAUCUUUGUCUUUGGGAACUCCUUCUGGGCAGCCAUCUGCAGGCCUGAGUGUUGCAGCUAUCAAACUGGACCAGGGAUUCACCCAUCUCACAGAGCUGUUACAGGGAUGGAAACUAACCAGUGUGGGUUUCCUCUGCCUGGACCAUGCCUCUCACAGACAACCAGUCUUGUGGCUCAUUCACGCCCUCACCUCCUUUAGCAAUUGGCUGCAAUAUCUCCUCUCCCAGGCAUUACCUGAUUCCCCUUCUUAAAGUUGCAACUCACUGCCUCUACUCAGUCCUCCCUCCCUGACCCCUCCCUUGCUUAUAUUUGUCGAGGGGACAAUCACUGUCUUGUCAGAGACACAUCGGUAAUUACGAUGUGAAUCAUAAGCUUUAUGGCCUUCUUUUGCACAGGCCCCUUCCAGAAUUUGUUGUAAGUUCUUUGUGCAUUUUAAAUAAAUAUUUCCU